rnacentral:misc_RNA from 1 species
GGAAAAUUCAUGUUGAAUUUCCAAAGUUAUGGGAAGCAGGUCUGUUGCUUUUUAUUUCUGUUAAAUUUAAUGACCAUGCAAAUUAGGGAAUCAUUUCAAAGGUCCUUAAUAAUCUCAUAUCUUAAUAUUCUACAACUAGGGGUCCACAAGACAAAUUUGGAUUUUGGAGUUGUCCGUGUCCAGUUAAAUAUGAAACACAUAUGUGAAUGUGAAA